rnacentral:rRNA from 1 species
UACGUAGGGUGCAAGCGUUGUCCGGAAUUAUUGGGCGUAAAGGGCUCGUAGGCGGUUUGUCACGUCGGGCGUGAAAACUCAGGGCUCAACCCUGAGCGUGCGUUCGAUACGGGCAGACUAGAGGUAUGCAGGGGAGAACGGAAUUCCUGGUGUAGCGGUGGAAUGCGCAGAUAUCAGGAAGAACACCCGUGGCGAAGGCGGUUCUCUGGGACGGUACUGACGCUGAGACGCGAAAGCGUGGGGAGCGAACAGG